rnacentral:rRNA from 1 species
CCUACGGGCGGCAGCAGUGGGGAAUAUUGCGCAAUGGGCGAAAGCCUGACGCAGCGACGCCGCGUGAGGGAUGAAGGUCUUCGGAUCGUAAACCUCUGUCAGCAGGGAAGAACGGUCACUGUGCUAAUCAGCAGUGAAUUGACGGUACCUGCAAAGGAAGCACCGGCUAACUCCGUGCCAGCAGCCGCGGUAAUACGGAGGGUGCGAGCGUUAAUCGGAAUUACUGGGCGUAAAGCGCUCGUAGGCGGUAUGUCAAGUCAAGGGUGAAAUCCCCGGGCUCAACGUGGGAACUGCCUUUGAAACUGGCAGACUGGAGUGUGUGAGAGGAUAGUGGAAUUCCAGGUGUAGGAGUGAAAUCCGUAGAGAUCUGGAGGAACAUCAGUGGCGAAGGCGACUAUCUGGCACAUAACUGACGCUGAGGAGCGAAAGCGUGGGUAGCAAACAGGAUUAGAUACCCUGGUAGUC